UACGUAGGUGGCAAGCGUUGUCCGGAUUUAUUGGGCGUAAAGAGCGUGUAGGCGGCCAGGUAGGUCCGUUGUGAAAACUAGAGGCUCAACCUCUAGACGUCGAUGGAAACCAUCUGGCUAGAGUCCGGAAGAGGAGAGUGGAAUUCCUGGUGUAGCGGUGAAAUGCGCAGAUAUCAGGAAGAACACCCGUGGCGAAGGUGGCUCUCUGGGACGGUACUGACGCUGAGACGCGAAAGCGUGGGGAGCGAACAGG
rnacentral:rRNA from 1 species